GAUUGUCAAGGUCACGGCUUUGGCAACACGAGAACAAUAAAUGAGUUCAAGCGAGCUUAAUUCUUUCAGCUAUGCUGUAAACACAUUAAUAAUG
rnacentral:ncRNA from 1 species